rnacentral:rRNA from 1 species
GAUGAACGCUGGCGGCGUGCCUAAUACAUGCAAGUCGAGCGAACGGACGAGAAGCUUGCUUCUCUGAUGUUAGCGGCGGACGGGUGAGUAACACGUGGAUAACCUACCUAUAAGACUGGGAUAACUUCGGGAAACCGGAGCUAAUACCGGAUAAUAUUUUGAACCGCAUGGUUCAAAAGUGAAAGACGGUCUUGCUGUCACUUAUAGAUGGAUCCGCGCUGCAUUAGCUAGUUGGUAAGGUAACGGCUUACCAAGGCAACGAUGCAUAGCCGACCUGAGAGGGUGAUCGGCCACACUGGAACUGAGACACGGUCCAGAAUCCUAAGGGAGGCAGGAGUAGGGAAUCUUCCGCAAUGGGCGAAAGCCUGACGGAGCAACGCCGCGUGAGUGAUGAAGGUCUUCGGAUCGUAAAACUCUGUUAUUAGGGAAGAACAUAUGUGUAAGUAACUGUGCACAUCUUGACGGUACCUAAUCAGAAAGCCACGGCUAACUACGUG